rnacentral:rRNA from 1 species
UCGAGAAUCUUUCGCAAUGGGGGCAACCUGACGAAGCGACGCCGCGUGCAGGAUGAAGGUCUUCGGAUUGUAAACUGCUGUCGGCUGGGAAGAAAAAGCUGAUGAUGAAUAAUAAUUGGCCCUGACGGUACCAGCAAAGGAAGCCACGGCUAACUCUGUGCCAGCAGCCGCGGUAAUACAGAGGUGGCGAGCGUUGUUCGGAUUUAUUGGGCGUAAAGGGUCCGUAGGCGGCCUGAAAAGUCGGAUGUGAAAGCCCACAGCUUAACUGUGGAAUGGCAUUCGAAACUUUCAGGAUCGAGUGUGAAAGGGGUAAAGGGAAUUCCCGGUGUAGUGGUAAAAUACGUAGAGAUCGGGAGGAACACCAGCGGCGCAGGCGGCUCACUAGACAGUUUCUGACGCUAAGAUACGAAAGCGUGGGGAGCAAACA